UACGUAGGGUGCGAGCGUUGUCUGGAAUUAUUGGGCGUAAAGAGCUUGUAGGCGGUUUGCCGCGUCUGCUGUGAAAAUCCGGGGCUCAACCCCGGACUUGCAGUGGGUACGGGCAGACUAGAGUGUGGUAGGGGGAGACUGGAAUUCCUGGUGUAGCGGUGAAAUGCGCAGAUAUCAGGAGGAACACCGAUGGCGAAGGCAGGUCUCUGGGCCACUACUGACGCUGAGAAGCGAAAGCAUGGGGAGCGAACAGG
rnacentral:rRNA from 1 species